UACGUAGGGGGCAAGCGUUGUCCGGAUUCAUUGGGCGUAAAGAGCUCGUAGGCGGUGUGUCGCGUCGGCCGUGAAAACCUGCAGCUUAACUGUGGGCUUGCGGUCGAUACGGGCAUCACUGGAGUUCGGCAGGGGAGACUGGAAUUCCUGGUGUAGCGGUGGAAUGCGCAGAUAUCAGGAGGAACACCGAUGGCGAAGGCAGGUCACUGGGCCGCAACUGACGCUGAGGAGCGAAAGCAUGGGGAGCGAACAGG
rnacentral:rRNA from 1 species